ensembl:lncRNA
AGUGUGAAAUGGCAGCAGGAACCGCAGUGCUCUGCCAGCUUCCCUCGGCUCCGCUUUGGAUUAAAGCAACCAGAACUGCAGUCAGAGCAGCACAGUGCUCGAGAUACUGUGACAGUCCCCUGGAGGUGUCUGCCUUGCUCUGCAAGCAAGUCUCUUGCCUGAAACUCAAUACGUGCCUCCUCAAAGCUGGAGUUCCAGUGCAGCCGUCAUGUGAGCAGUAACUAGAUGCUGGGAGAACUUCACCUGAAUGUCAUCCGAUUGCUGCACUGACCCAUUGCUUAAACCUGCAUUUAGUCCCACAUUGAUGAUACAAUGAAAUUUGGUCCUUCCAGGGACAGAUACUUCCAUUCUUCUGAGAGUAGAAUUGAAAGUAGUUCCUUGGCCCAUUGCUUUAGUCAAGUUGAUGCCCUCUGCAUUCAUUGCCCAAAAUGUAAAUGGUGCAGGAAUUCUGAAUUAAAGCUUACGACGGAGGAUUCAAACUGUUUGCAUGUUCUUGUUUGCACACCAAUAGUGAUAAUUCACAGUAGAGGCUGGGAUUUGAACAUUCAAAAUAUUUUUCAUUUCUUAUGUGGCAAAUUUGGCAAAGGCGUUCUACCUCAUGUGUGGUCUGCACUCCAAAUGGAAGACUGAAAUUUGGAAGACAAAAAGGAAGCCAAACAUGUCUUGAAGCGCUAUAGACCUCCAGAAAAGCAGACGCAAAAUACAUCCUAACUUGUAGUUUGGAUAAUUAUGAAUAGGACACUCUAAUAAUUGAGAACAGAAUGAGCCAUCUACCAGGCUGAGAAGUUGUAUGAAAUGAUUAAAAGAAAAUGCAUUCAGUGGGUAUUGCUCAAGCUUGGGAAAAUUUAUUUGGGAAGACAUUGGAGUUGCAAAAAAAUCCUUCAGACUGAAAGGCAGGGGGAAAAAAAAAAGGCAACAAAAUGAUCUACUGUCCUGUUGUAAAGUGCAGAGUGAUCUCACAGUAAAGUCCAAGGAUGGUGUCAAUGACGUAAAACUUUAUUGUGAUUUGUAACUGCAAUAGUCUGCCUAUGUGCUCUGCUUGAAAGGAAAAAACGAAAGAGAAAGUCACGUUGCACAGAGGUAUGAAUUUACAGAAUCAAGUAGAGAUGUACCAGCCUUAGCCUGGAGCUGAAUCAGGUUCGGCAUCACACAGUGUUUUAAAAACUCCUAGGGGCAAACAGAGAAGGAGCACCCAACUGUGUGUUGUGUUAUACACAGCCAGUUUGGAUAAAAUUAAAAAUAUACUGAAGCCUUUCUCUUCUUGUAAUGCUUUUUCAAAUGAUGUUUCUAAAUAGAACUUUUAAAAGAAUGUUUCCACUCGUGUUGAUAAGCUGUAGUUGAGACGCAUAAUUUGAGAAGAAAUAUGAAUGUAGAUUAGUCUAAAUAUUGAUUUAUUUUUACCAAAUAUAUUCUAAUACAU